AUGCACUUUCAUGAAAGAGACAACUUGAAGAGAUCCCUCUGCAUUUCAGACAUCACAUAUCACAAUUUGGUAGCAUUAAUAGAGACAGAGGGAUAUGGGCUGAAUGAUUACAUUUACUUUGUGAGGGAGCCUGGUGUGGGUAUUGAAGGAUUGGUAGAAAUUUCUGAUGAUGACAAGGUGGAUGAAAUGCUUGACCAUAUUGCUAAUAAGGAUCAGACUGUAGUGAAUUUGACAGUGAUUAGGGCCACUGAUCCAAGACCUGCAGAUUUGAAUGCAGGAUAUUUGUAUGAGGAGCGGGUUCCUUCGAGUCAAUUAGGAGAAAAACUUGUCUAUGAAGUCAAUCCUUCUGGAGUUCUAUUCAGAUCACCUGAGAAAUCAAAUAAACAGAGGCAGUCAGAGCCACUUCAGUUCUUUUCCACACAGCAGAGCACAAACUUAGAUAUUGCUAUGGAGCAAGAUGAGCAGGAGACACUAAUGGAGCUAAAGAGGAGAACCAAGAUUGAGAACUUUAGGAAACAUAAGGAGGCAUCUGAGCAUGUUCAAAUGGUUAAGCAAAAACUACCAGUUCUUCUAACUGAAGAUGACUCUGAUCUGGAUGCAGCAGAUGAGGACUUUGUUAAAAGGCUUAAUGAUUUGAGGAGGCAGAGAGAGGAUCCACUCCUUCAUUUUGAAGGAGACACUGAUGUGGAUGAAGUGUAUGGGGAAGAUGAGCAAGUGGAGCAAGUGGAGGAGGAUGAGCAGAUGGAGCAUGAGGAGGAGGAGCAGGUGGAGCAACAACAGGAGCCACCAAAGAAGAAGGAAAAAAGAAAAGGGCCAACCAAGAGGUCACAUUCAAGCUUGGAGCAAAGAUUUGAGGAUGUGUAG
rnacentral:rRNA from 1 species